rnacentral:rRNA from 1 species
GACGAACGCUGGCGGCGUGCUUAACACAUGCAAGUCGAACGGAAAGGCCCUGCUUUUGUGGGGUGCUCGAGUGGCGAACGGGUGAGUAACACGUGAGUAACCUGCCCUUGACUUUGGGAUAACUUCAGGAAACUGGGGCUAAUACCGGAUAGGAGCUCCUGCUGCAUGGUGGGGGUUGGAAAGUUUCGGCGGUUGGGGAUGGAUUCGCGGCUUAUCAGCUUGUUGGGGGGGUAGUGGCUUACCAAGGGUUUGACGGGUAGCCGGCAUGAGAGGGGGGCCGGGCACAUGGGGCCUGGGGUACGGCGCAGUCGCCAACGGGAGGCAACGGGGGGGAAUAUGGCGGAGUGGGGGGAAGCCUGUGGCGGAAGUCCCGGGAUCGGAAUACCGUCUUACGGGUGAAAAACCGCUUUGGCCGUUACUGAGCAGUGCUUGACGGUACUGGAUAAAAAAGCCCCGGCUAACUACGUG